rnacentral:lncRNA from 1 species
UUGUUUUAUGUACAUAACAGAUCUAAGGAUAGGGGAUCUGUUUUAAUUUGGGGGAAAUGAUUUGUUCAGUUAUAAAUAUUAAUCCUUGCAAAAUUAUAGCAACUAGGCUUGUUUGCUCAGUUGGUUAUUGGUUCCAAGUUUUAAGCUAGAGGUCAAGAGUUCGAACCAACAUAAUUUUUGGGAUUAAGUUCAAUAUUCGUCACGUCAGCCCGUUCACGUGUAAAAUAAAAUAAAAAAUAUCACGUCAGAUCUGCCACGUAGGUGCCACAUAUGCAGGUCAACACACAUGUGGCGCCUGGGGCUCGAAAUCCAAAUUUUUUAAUAGAAAGGGGCUCAAUUUGCGUUGCCCAAAAGAAAAGGGCUCAAUACCCAAAAACUCCUAAAGUUCAGUGGUCUACUUUGCAUUUUACCCUGUUAGGCACACACAUAGGGAAAUUGAUCAAGGAUGUGUUAGUAGGGUGAUGGUGUACAUGGUUAUGGAUAUAUGAUAUGUUAGUGAAUGCAAGUCAUGGGGUUACCGUUGAGGUGUAUGUGUACCUAAUUGAAAGGGUUGAUUGCUUAAUUUUUUUCAUUUGUGUUUAGUAUGUUAUCUUAGUUGUGUUUGCUUGAGGACAAGCAAUGUUUCAUGUUUGGGGAAGUUUGGGGGAAUUUGAUGAGUAGGUUUUUAACCUACGAUUUGAUCUCAUUUAGCUUGGUAUAUUGUUAGUUUUUGGGUUUAUUCAUGUUACUUUUGAUGGGUUUUGGUUCUUUGUGCAGGAGAAUGGGUUGGAAAGUUUAAAGAUUGAACAUGGGAAGAAAAUAACAAGUUUCUAAUCAUACUGUGCAACCGGCGCGGGGCGCGCCAUG